UCACUCUUUAGCCCUCAGCUUUAGUGAUCUAUCAGUAUGGUGUUUCUCCUGCAAUGCGUAUUUAGAUGCUCAAGUUAUAAUGCCGUUGCAGUCUGUUCAUUUCACUGCCUACGUACUGAAGUUUAAUGAGCCUCCACCUUUACGAGCAGUGGAGUGUGUACAUAUUACAGAUAACAAAGCAGACGGUUCUUCUACUUCUGGGAAUUAAUCCUUUGUUCUUCUCUUUGAUGCCUGUGAUGUUUAGCGAAAACUAAUUUGGAUCAUGGUGUUUUUAUCUCGAUGUUGGCACAUUAACUUCUUAUUUCUGUGCUUCGUAAGCAAAAUAG
rnacentral:misc_RNA from 1 species